rnacentral:rRNA from 1 species
UACGUAGGGGGCAAGCGUUGUCCGGAAUCAUUGGGCGUAAAGCGUGCGUAGGUGGUUCGUUAAGUCUGUCGUGAAAGCCCCGGGCUCAACCUGGGAAUGGCGAUGGAUACUGGCGGGCUAGAGUGCGGUAGAGGAGAGUGGAAUUCCCGGUGUAGCAGUGAAAUGCGUAGAGAUCGGGAGGAACAUCAGUUGCGAAGGCGGCUCUCUGGACCAGCACUGACACUGGAGGCACGAAAGCGUGGGGAGCAAACAGG